AGCUAGCCUUGAUGUACGUGCAAAGCGGUACAUUUUCCACUUAGGUCUCAUGUCUGUGACAAACCUCUAUUCUCAGCCCCAUCCCUGUUGCUUGUUAGCCCUAAAUGUUUUUUGUUUUGUUUCUUGAUUUCUCCCUACUGUAGCUUUUGGGUUUUGGAGUAGUUACUGCUUCAUAGAACCCAGGGGGUGACUGUUGUUUGUCAAGUUGUAGACCUUUGUAGGACUUGUCACCUCCCCAAAGGAUCUGGGAAGGGGCUUUACUUCCUCAAUAGAAGGGACUGCAGGGGAGGUUAGGCUUGUUACUGGGGGUGAGGAACACCAGUUAUAGCCUCUGCCUUGGGCACAGGGUGGACAUGUAGAUGUGUUCCCUCUGAUAGACCUGCCUUUCCCACUAUGGGUCAUGAAUGCUAUGGGAUAGGUGUCCCAUGGAAGAUGGUGUUUGUUGUCUUUACGCUCCAUGGAUUUGUACCAGUCUGUUGGUGAUAAAUGACUAUGACAAGUGCUGCUGUGUGCUAGGAAUAGUGACGUAUGUCUGUAAUCUCAGUGCCAGGGAGACAGAGGCCAUUUAUGGCUGAGUAGUAGGUUCAAGUCAGCCUGUGCUGUAACAGUGAGGUGCUGCUAUUUACAACCAGGAAAGAAACCAGACUAAACCAAAACGAGAGCAGAGACAGAGACAGAGACAGACAGACAGGCAGACAGGCAGACCCACAGACAGACACACAUGAGGGCUGUAAACAGAACAGGCUACAGUGGCUGACCACCAUAGAGUGUGUUCAGCCUUAUUGCUACAUGAAGAAGAGCCGCAGAACAAAUAAGCAGAGCCCAGGAAUAGUAUACAGCUGGGAUGGAGUCAGGUUGCUGGGGCACGUGCUGGGGCAGAGCUCCCUCUAUAUAAUUGGCGUGAGCCUCCCUCCCCCAUACACUCUGGCCAGCCUGACCUAGAACUCACUCUGUAGUCAGAUGAUUCAUUUAUUCCAGUCUCUCCAGUCAGUGGGAUUACAGGCAUGAGGGACUUUGCCUGGCUUUUUUGUUUCGAUUUUUGUGACUAGCUCUGUCCGGCCUGAAACGCCUUGUGUAGACCAGGCCAGCCUUGAACCUGCAGCACUCCUGUUCUUCCUCAGCUGCUGGGAUUGCAGGCGUAUGUCCCCAUCCCAGCCUUGUUUCCUCCUGGGUACAGUCAGGGAGACAGGAUAUUCCCGCUUCAUGAGUUGGGGGCUCCAUAUGAUGUGUGCCUUGCAGCGUCCGCGGUAACUCUUGAUUGAGACUUAGUGAUUGAUUUUAUUUCUAAAAAAAUGGUUUGCCAAAAGUGAGGAAGCAGCACUGCACUUUGCAGUGUGGCCAAAUGGAGAUGCUCAGAGGCAGUGCAGGGAGUCCCCGAGGGUGUCCAGAACCCCGAAGACGACGCUCCCAAACCUUAAAGGAGGCUCAGCUGCUCUGAGGAGCCCCGCUUGUGCUGACUGUCCCAGAGCAAAGGACUAUAAGCCGUCAUCUCAGCAGUGUAAAAAGUUAGCAGAGCCGUGCAGCGGACUUUGUGACAGUCAUUUAAAAGUUGAUUUGGGGGACUGGGGAACAGGCCAGUGAGCAAAGCACUUUGCUAUCUCAUGUGCUUUUGGGUUGGGAGCGAUCUUUCUCCCUUCAUAGUUCAGACUCUUGUACACACAUGCUUUUUUUGCUUCUUUGUUUAGUUUAUACCCCUUUUUAUUUCUUGUUCAAAAACAUUCAUUUUGUACGUAUGUGUUUGUGUGCACAUGAUAUUUUGGUCAGUGGUCAACCUUGGGUGUCAUUCCUCAGGCACGAGCUAUCACCAUGUCAGUUUUCAAAAGUUUUAAUUUUUUUUUUUAAAAGAGGACAAACCAAACCAAACCAAACC
rnacentral:lncRNA from 1 species